AGAACGAACGCUGGCGGCAGGCUUAACACAUGCAAGUCGAACGGGAUCUUCGGAUCUAGUGGCGGACGGGUGAGUAACGCGUGGGAACAUGCCCAGCAGUACGGAAUAACAGCGGGAAACUGCUGCUAAUACCGUAUACGCCCUUCGGGGGAAAGAUUUAUCGCUGUUGGAUUGGCCCGCGUCCGAUUAGCUUGUUGGUGAGGUAAAAGCUCACCAAGGCGACGAUCGGUAGCUGGUCUGAGAGGACGAUCAGCCACACUGGGACUGAGACACGGCCCAGACUCCUACGGGAGGCAGCAGUGGGGAAUAUUGGACAAUGGGGGAAACCCUGAUCCAGCCAUGCCGCGUGAGUGAAGAAGGCCUUAGGGUUGUAAAGCUCUUUCGGCGGGGACGAUGAUGACGGUACCCGCAGAAGAAGCCCCGGCUAACUCCGUGCCAGCAGCCGC
rnacentral:rRNA from 1 species